rnacentral:rRNA from 1 species
CACGUAGGGUGCGAGCGUUGUCCGGAAUUAUUGGGCGUAAAGAGCUCGUAGGCGGUGUGUCGCGUCGGCCGUGAAAACCUGCAGCUUAACUGUGGGCUUGCGGUCGAUACGGGCAUCACUGGAGUUCGGCAGGGGAGACUGGAAUUCCUGGUGUAGCGGUGAAAUGCGCAGAUAUCAGGAGGAACACCGGUGGCGAAGGCGGGUCUCUGGGCCGAUACUGACGCUGAGGAGCGAAAGCUAGGGGAGCGAAUGGG